AAAAAAUAAAAUAUUUUUUUAAAAAAAUUGAACAAAAACAAAACAGACUCUCUCUCAUACUCCUCUCAAUCCCUAGUCUUCACUUCCCAAACCAACCUGAGUUUGUUGGUAAUCCUUUCAGAUGUUUUGAAAAUGCAUAAACACACAACAUAUUCGUGUUUACUUAACAAGGACAUUAUUCUGUAGUUACUGAUCUGAUGCUUCCCUUUAGUGUUUAAUAUCUUGGAGAUCAUUUCAAAUUCCAUGAAUCUCCAUUAUCACGCGUGGUACUUCAUUCCAUUGCAUGGCACACUGUAUUUAUUUGUUUUGCUGUAACUUGGUGCAGUGAAAUCAAGUGCACUUUUGACCACUUAUGUAUUUGCAUAAGAUAAACUCC
rnacentral:lncRNA from 1 species